rnacentral:rRNA from 1 species
GACGAACGCUGGCGGCGUGCCUAAUACAUGCAAGUAGAACGAGUUGCGAACGGGUGAGUAACGCGUGGUAACCUGCCUCAUAGCGGGGGAUAACUAUUGGAAACGAUAGCUAAUACCGCAUACUGUGAGAUGGACCUGCGUUGUAUUAGUUAGUUGGUUAGGUAAAGGCUCACAAAGGCGACGAUACAUAGCCGACCUGAGAGGAUGACCAGCAACACUGGAACGGAGACAAGGUCCAGACUCCUACGGGAGGCAGCAGUGGGGAAGAUGGCAAAAGGGGGGAAAGCCUGAUGCAGCCAUGCCGCGGGUAUGAAGAAGGCCGUCGGGUUGUAAAGUACUUUCAGCGGGGAGGCGUUACCCGCAGAAGAAGCACCGGCUAACUCCGUGCCAGCAGCCGCGGUAAUAC